rfam:Myotis lucifugus cont2.21670, whole genome shotgun sequence.
GGCAAUUCUCAGGUGAGCCACCCCAGAAUCGGGCUCCCUCCUCUCUGGUUUCAGGUGCAUCACCAGAGAACUAGA